UACGGGGGGGGCAAGCGUUGUUCGGAAUUACUGGGCGUAAAGGGCUCGUAGGCGGCCAACUAAGUCAGACGUGAAAUCCCUCGGCUUAACCGGGGAACUGCGUCUGAUACUGGUUGGCUUGAAUCCGGGAGAGGGAUGUGGAAUUCCAGGUGUAGCGGUGAAAUGCGCAGAUAUCAGGAAGAACACCAAUGGCGAAGGCAGCUCUCUGGGACGGUACUGACGCUGAGACGCGAAAGCGUGGGGAGCGAACAGG
rnacentral:rRNA from 1 species